rnacentral:rRNA from 1 species
CUCGUAGGCGGUUCGUCGCGUCCGGUGUGAAAGUCCAUCGCUUAACGGUGGAUCCGCGCCGGGUACGGGCGGGCUUGAGUGCGGUAGGGGAGACUGGAAUUCCCGGUGUAACGGUGGAAUGUGUAGAUAUCGGGAAGAACACCAAUGGCGAAGGCAGGUCUCUGGGCCGUCACUGACGCUGAGGAGCGAAAGCGUGGGUAGCAAACA